rnacentral:rRNA from 1 species
UACGUAGGGCGCAAGCGUUGUCCGGAAUUAUUGGGCGUAAAGAGCUCGUAGGCGGCCUGUCGCGUCUGCUGUGAAAUCCCGGGGCUUAACCCCGGGCGUGCAGUGGAUACGGGCUGGCUGGAGGCAGGCAGGGGAGAAUGGAAUUCCCGGUGUAGCGGUGAAAUGCGCAGAUAUCGGGAGGAACACCGGUGGCGAAGGCGGUUCUCUGGGCCUUACCUGACGCUGAGGAGCGAAAGCGUGGGGAGCGAACAGG